rnacentral:rRNA from 1 species
UACAGAGGCCUCGAGCGUUAGGCGGAAUCACUGGGCUUAAAGCGUGUGUAGGUGGAUGCCUAAGUACCUUGUGAAAUCCCACGGCUUAACCGUGGAACUGCUGGGUAUACUGGGUGUCUUGAGCCACUCAGGGGCGAGCGGAACUAACGGUGGAGCGGUGAAAUGCGUAGAUAUCGUUAGGAACGCCUAUGGUGAAAACAGCUCGCUGGGGGUGUGCUGACACUGAGACACGAAAGCCAGGGGAGCAAACGGG